rnacentral:rRNA from 1 species
GACGAACGCUGGCGGCGUGCUUAACACAUGCAAGUGGAGCGACGAACCAGGGCUUGCCCUGGGGCAGAGCCGCGAACGGGUGAGUAACACGUGGGUGACCUGCCCUCAGCUCUGGGAUAAGCCCGGGAAACUGGGUCUAAUACCGGAUAUGACUCCACGGUGCAUGUCGUGGGGUGGAAAGCCUUGUGCGGCUGAGGAUGGGCCCGCGGCCUAUCAGCUUGUUGGUGGGGNGAUGGCCUACCAAGGCGACGACGGGUAGCCGGCCUGAGAGGGCGACCGGCCACACUGGGACUGAGACACGGCCCAGACUCCUACGGGAGGCAGCAGUGGGGAAUCUUGCGCAAUGGGCGAAAGCCUGACGCAGCGACGCCGCGUGAGGGAUGACGGCCU